CGUAGGUGGCAAGCGUUGUCCGGAUUUAUUGGGUUUAAAGGGUGCGUAGGCGGUUUUAUAAGUCAGUGGUGAAAUCCGGCAGCUUAACUGUCGAUGUGCCAUUGAUACUGUAAGACUUGAGUACUGAUGAGGUAGGCGGAAUUGACGGUGUAGCGGUGAAAUGCUUAGAUAUCGUCAAGAACACCGAUAGCGAAGGCAGCUUACUAAGGAGUAACUGACGCUGAUGCACGAAAGUGUGGGGAUCAAACAGGAUUAGAUACCCUGGUAGUCCACACUGUAAACGAUGAUUACUCGAUGUUGGCGAUACACAGCCAGCGUCUUAGCGAAAGCGAUAAGUAAUCCACCUGGGGAGUACGCCGGCAACGGUG
rnacentral:rRNA from 1 species